rnacentral:rRNA from 1 species
CCUACGGGUGGCAGCAGUCGAGAAUUAUUCACAAUGGGGGAAACCCUGAUGGGGCGACGCCGCGUGGGGGAAUGAAGGUCUGCGGAUUGUAAACCCCUGUCAUGGGGGAGCAAAUUAAAAAGAGAGUACCACAAGAGGAAGAGACGGCGAACGCGGUGCCAGCAGCCGCGGUAAUACAGAGGUCUCAAGCGUUGUUCGGAAUCACUGGGCGUAAAGCGUGCGUAGGCUGUUUCGUAAGUCGUGUGUGAAAGGCGCGGGCUCAACCCGCGGACGGCACAUGAUACUGCGAGACUAGUGUACUGGAGGGCGCACCGGAAUUCUCGGUGUCGCCGU